GAUGAAGAACGUAGCGAAAUGCGAUAAGUAAUGUGAAUUGCAGAAUUCAGUGAAUCAUCGAAUCUUUGAACGCACAUUGCGCCCUCUGGUAUUCCGGGGGGCAUGCCUGUUCGAGCGUCAUUAUAACCACUCAAGCUCUCGCUUGGUAUUGGAGUUCGCGAUCUCGCGGCUCCUAAAAUCAGUGGCGGUGCCUGUCGGCUCUACGCGUAGUAAUACUCCUCGCGAUUGAGUCCGGUAGGUUUACUUGCCAGAAACCCCCAAUUUUUACAGGUUGACCUCGGAUCAGGUAGGGAUACCCGCUGAACUUAAGCAUAUCAAUAAGCGGAGGA
rnacentral:misc_RNA from 1 species